rnacentral:lncRNA from 1 species
UGGGCAAUGGGGAUCCCUUGGGACCUGGAGUGCUGGGUGGGGGUCCUUCCCCCCCCUCCCUGAGCUGAGCCUCCCCCUAUCAGCAGUGCACCUGGUGAGCCCCUUUGAGGAUAACUUGAGGAGCAGCAGGAGCAGACUUGGCAUCCUGGGGAUACCUGGAGGAGGGGACUUCUUUCCUGAUGGCCUGAGGUGAACAGUUCUGUUGCAGGUGGCCUGUCAUUGACCCGGCAUGGCCCUCUGAAGAACCCCUUCCAGGAGCCUUCACCCUGUAUCUCAAAGCCCCAGCAGGUGACUCUCCAGGUACUGCAUGGUGAGUCUUGGGCUGUUGUGUAUAUGCGUGGGGGGGGGGAUGGAGUGUGGGCCCCCGAGGAUUGCCUAAGGGGGAGGUCAGAGUGUGGUCUACCUAUACCAUCUUGUGUCUGGCCUCAGUCUUCUGCCCUUGGUGGAACAGGUGCGCACCCACUUGGUAGAUGAGACUGGGGUAGAGAACUGAGGUUCAACCGUCUCUCUGAGCCUCCAUCAUCCUACCUGUAAAAUGGGUCUAGCAAACACUUCUAGGACCAUUCAGGAAUAAAUGGAAUUAUGGUUGUGACCUAACAGGCAUGCAGUAUAUACUUGUUAGGAGGUGGCCAUGACUACUUACCAGGAAUAACCCUCUUCCCUCUCUUCCCCCAGAUGCCUUGCCACCUCCCCAUGUAGAAGGCUCAUGGCUGACUCUUGAAGCCUACAUCCAGCUUGUGUCAAACUAGACCAUGAAAUUCUACGUGGAUGAGUGUGUGGGCUCUCAGAGCCAUUACCUGAACCACUCCCAGAGAAUAUACACCCUUGUCUUCAACUGAGGGUCUAAGAGGCUACAGAGGGAGUAAGAGGGAGGGCAGGGGCUUAUCCCUACCCUGAUGUCUUGCUGAGCUGGGCCAUUGGUGUGAUAAUGUAGAGGGGUCUAUCUUGUUGUACUUGGUCAUUGGUGACCAGCCUUUUUUUGUGUCUGAUCUGAACUUGUCUGGGUCUGAACCUGCCACCUGGGCUGUGAGUUUGGCAAAGGAUGGGCUGUUCUUGCCAGCCAGGAUUCAAGCUGUUGAGUGACUAUAGAGGCCUUAGGGUCUUGUCACUUGUGGCUGAUUUUGUAACAUCUGCCCUUUGCUCAGGCUAAACACAACUGUCCUUGAACUCUGGUAAUGGGGUGGACAUUCUUUAAUGAGGCUUUACGGAGCAAGAAGGUCCCAUAGUAUGAGCUUCUCUGUGGAUUCACAGGAAACUUGUUCCAGCCAGUCUCUGAGUUGAAGAUCCCUGUGGUCCCCUUGGCUGUCCUCCAGGUGCCUCUCAAUAGGCCCCAGAUCUGG